CAACCAGUCCAGGGUGUGCUCCGCCUCCCAACCAAAGUCAACCAGGAUCCUUCUUUGGAGUGCUGUGCAAUCGGUGACCUUUGGUAGAAAUUGAGCUCAGGCAGCAAUCAUGUCAUCAGUGAAGGACUAUGCUUGUGUCCGCUGACUGUUUUCUCCUCCAAGGAUUAGCCGGGUGAAGAGAAGGAUGAGAUGGCCCGGAAUGGAGUUUGUGUUCCUUCUUGUAAUGAGGUGGAGACCACCAGAGACUGCUGAGGUGUUUGAACAAAAGGUGGAUGGAUUACAGAACAUGCAGAGGACCUUGAGCAAAGACCGACAUCGUACAAGUGAGGCCGCUGGCAUGUCUGAAUCCUUGGACCGCGUGCGCCGACUCCACCCUAAAUUCCCGGAACCGAAUUUUACGGAUCCCCGUCCGCUCUUACUUGCGGCGCAUCUUAGCGGCUAGGUGACAAAACAUCCUCCCCGAUAUCACCGCCGUAAAGAGCACAAUACAACAGGGUGUUGUUGGUCAGCGCAACAAUGGCAUCGAAAUGAAAGAUGUGACCAAUCCGGUGUGGACACCUGAAGAGGGAGGAGGAGCUUCCAGUGGGUUAUUUACAGCAGCAGGAGAGGCUACAGGAUUAAAUGACAUCGCGGAUGCCCAUAAAACUUGUGAAAGUGAGCCGUGAGCCAAGCAGGAACCCCCUGGCUGCAUUUUGGUACGGAUCGAGAUAAUGGUGUUGAUUAAAAGCUUCUUACUUUUGUAGGGAAUCACACGAAAUCUUAGUGACAAGGCAUACGAAGACGGUGGUGUAAACGUAUGCAUCCAAAUUACAAUUGCUUUGCCUUGGCUGCGGUUGCAUUCCCGCAAGCAUUUUGACGAUACGGAUGCUGAAACUAAAAUGGUCAAAUCAUUAUUUACCAUUGGUGCCAGUCUAUUUUUGCAAAUGAUCAAAAACACACCAAAUUUUUCUUUUUGUUGUUGUUGGGCGAACCCAACAUUUCAAGUCAACAAACGUCGAUAAUAUUUUAAGUUGGGGAGCUCAACAAAAUAUUUUAAGUUUUGCGAAUGUGAAAAUUGGCAUGCCUGUAUAAGACUGUACAGAACUAUUUGUCUUUUGUAUUGUUCCCCCAACUCAAAGAUAGAAUUACAAACAAUUCAGCAAAUGAAUUUUGAAGCAAACAACCUUUGACUGGUUUGUUGUGCUGAUUUCUUGCCAUCAAUUCAAUCUUUUAACAAAGUUCCAAUUCAAGUGACUGUUUUAGUCCCCAAAAAUACAAGUUGUGUUUUUUUACAGUGUAUGAUCCAGAAUUUUCUCUUUAAAAUACUCAA